UGUUAGACCAAAUGGGGACGGGG
rnacentral:piRNA from 1 species